UAGUCAAUACCGGUUUUGUCAGCUCAUGAUAGAAAAUCUUCCCAAACUCCGUGAGGAUAUUAAAGAAAUCUCCAUGUCUGAUCUCAAAGACUUUUUGGAAAGUAUUCGAAAACAUUCUGACAAAAUAGGUGAAACAGCAAUGAAACAGGCACAGCAUCAGAAAACCUUCAGUGUUUCUCUGCAGAAACAAAAUAAAAUGAAAUUUGGGAAAAAUAUGUAUAUAAAUCGUGAUAGAAUUCCAGAGGAAAGGAAUGAAACUGUAUUGAAACAUUCACUUGAAGAAGAGGAUGAGAAUGAAGAAGAGGUGAUAGGUGUCUUUCUUUCUUUUCUAUUAUUAGAUAAUUUUUUUUCUUUUGGAUUGUAAUGUACAUCUGUGUGAUUUAGUCUUCCUGUAUGCAAAAUAAAUUUAUGUUGUAAAAGU
rnacentral:lncRNA from 1 species